rnacentral:tRNA from 1 species
GGUUUAAUAGUCUAUGUUAUGACGCUAAAUUGCAAAUUUAGAGGAAAGUUAUUUUUUAAGCCU